rnacentral:rRNA from 1 species
GGAAUCUUGCGCAAUGGGCGAAAGCCUGACGCAGCGAUGCCGCGUGCGGGAAGACGGCCUUCGGGUUGUAAACCGCUUUCAGCAGGGCCGCACUUGACGGUACCUGCAGAAGAAGCUCCGGCCAACUACGUGCCAGCGGCCGCGGUACGACGUAGGGGGCGAGCGUUGUCCGGAAUUAUUGGGCGUAAAGGGCUCCUAGGCGGUUCAGUAAGUCGACUGUGAAAAUCCAAGGCUCAACCUUGGGACGCCAGUCGAUACUGCUGUGACUCGAGUUCGGUAGAGGAGUGUGGAAUUCCUGGUGUAGCGGUGAAAUGCGCAGAUAUCAGGAGGAACACCAACGGCGAAGGCAGCACUCUGGGCCGAUACUGACGCUGAAGAGCGAAAGCGUGGGGAGCAAAC